rnacentral:rRNA from 1 species
UGAUGGAUACAACAUAGCGUUAACGCACAAGAUCCAAUUAGAACUCUGCAGUUAAACGUGAUCAUUCUAAAGUAUUAUUGAUAUGGGUGACCACCAGAGAAGUCCAAGUGCUUUUUGUGUC